GGGUAACGCCCAGGCGGGGUGACCCGCGGAAAGUGCCACAGAGACAGACCGCCAACCAUCCACGGCCGGCCGUUAGGCCGGCCGGAGACAGGGGCAAGGGUGCAACGGUGAGGUAAGAGCUCACCAGCGGCCGGGUGACCGGCCGGCUGUGCAAACCCCACCCGGAGCAAGGCCAAGCAGGGAGCGGGCGGCCCGUCCAACGCUCCCGGGUAGGCUGCAAAGAGAGCCACGGAGACGUGGCGCUCGAGAGGGUCGCGGAGACGCGGCUCCCAGAGAGAUGGUCGCCGCCUGAGUUCGCUCCGGCGAGCUCGGGCACAGAAUCCGGCUUACAGGCCGGCUCCUCUC
rnacentral:RNase_P_RNA from 1 species